GGGAGGGCGCGCCUGCUCCCAGCUGCAGCCCUGCUCCCGGGCCUGCAGCCCCGGCUUAGCCGCCGCUCCGGGCUCCGUCUUCUCCUCUACCAAACGGUGCGGGCCUUCCCCUGGCUCCGGGCUGUCUGAGGACCGGGUGUGGAGCUGAUGGUCUCGGGAGGGAGACAGACAGAAAACAGAGAAUCUCACAAAUGAAUAUGUAAUGAGAAGUUUGAUAAGUGCAUGUGACGGAAAAAAUCAAUAAGUCACCACACUGGACAUGAGUCCCCAGGACCUAUGUAUCUAAACAGCUGCUCUGAUGACGAGAUGAUCCUGGAGUCUCCAGCUGGGUCCAAGUCAUCACAGAGAUCCUGAGACGUGGAAGGUAACAUACGGAUCACAUAAGAGAAAAAGUGGGAGAGAACAGAGGGAUCCAGAGGGAGAAAGACUUGGCCUGACGCCGGCUUGAAGAAGGAGGCAGGGAGCCCGGGCUGGGCGCUGAGCUCUGCGGACAGCCUGAGUGAGCAGGAAAGGGUGCCCCGAGCCUCUGGACAGGAGCGCACCUGUCCCCUUGGAUUUGGCUUUAUGGG